rnacentral:rRNA from 1 species
UGUCCGGAUUUAUUGGGCGUAAAGCGAGCGCAGGCGGUUUUUUAAGUCUGAUGUGAAAGCCUUCGGCUCAACCGAAGAAGUGCAUCGGAAACUGGGCAAACUUGAGUGCAGAAGAGGACAGUGGAACUCCAUGUGUAGCGGUGAAAUGCGUAGAUAUAUGGAAGAACACCAGUGGCGAAGGCGGCUGUCUGGUCUGUAACUGACGCUGAGGCUCGAAAGUAUGGGUAGCAAACAGGAUUAGAUACCCUGGUAGUCCAUACCGUAAACGAUGAAUGCUAAGUGUUGGAGGGUUUCCNCCCUCCCAGUGCUGCAGCUAACGCAUUAAGCAUUCCGCCUGGGGAGUACGGCCGCAAGGCUGAAACUCAGAGGAAUUGACGGGGGCCC